rnacentral:rRNA from 1 species
GGCAGGCCUAACACAUGCAAGUCGAACGGUAACAGGAAGCAGCUUGCUGCUUUGCUGACGAGUGGCGGACGGGUGAGUAAUGUCUGGGAAACUGCCUGAUGGAGGGGGAUAACUACUGGAAACGGUGGCUAAUACCGCAUAACGUCGCAAGACCAAAGAGGGGGACCUUCGGGCCUCUUGCCAUCAGAUGUGCCCAGAUGGGAUUAGCUUGUUGGUGAGGUAACGGCUCACCAAGGCGACGAUCCCUAGCUGGUCUGAGAGGAUGACCAGCCACACUGGAACUGAGACACGGUCCAGACUCCUACGGGAGGCAGCAGUGGGGAAUAUUGCACAAUGGGCGCAAGCCUGAUGCAGCCAUGCCGCGUGUAUGAAGAAGGCCUUCGGGUUGUAAAGUACUUUCAGCGGGGAGGAAGGUGUUGUGGUUAAUAACCGCAGCAAUUGACGUUACCCGCAGAAGAAGCACCGGCUAACUCCGUGCCAGCAGCCGCGGUAAUACGGAGGGUGCAAGCGUUAAUCGGAAUUACUGGGCGUAAAGCGCACGCAGGCGGUCUGUCAAGUCGGAUGUGAAAUCCCCGGGCUCAACCUGGGAACUGCAUUCGAAACUGGCAGGCUUGAGUCUUGUAGAGGGGGGUAGAAUUCCAGGUGUAGCGGUGAAAUGCGUAGAGAUCUGGAGGAAUACCGGUGGCGAAGGCGGCCCCCUGGACAAAGACUGACGCUCAGGUGCGAAAGCGUGGGGAGCAAACAGGAUUAGAUACCCUGGUAGUCCACGCCGUAAACGAUGUCUACUUGGAGGUUGUGCCCUUGAGGCGUGGCUUCCGGAGCUAACGCGUUAAGUAGACCGCCUGGGGAGUACGGCCGCAAGGUUAAAACUCAAAUGAAUUGACGGGGGCCCGCACAAGCGGUGGAGCAUGUGGUUUAAUUCGAUGCAACGCGAAGAACCUUACCUGGUCUUGACAUCCACAGAAGAAUCCAGAGAUGGAUUUGUGCCUUCGGGAACUGUGAGACAGGUGCUGCAUGGCUGUCGUCAGCUCGUGUUGUGAAAUGUUGGGUUAAGUCCCGCAACGAGCGCAACCCUUAUCCUUUGUUGCCAGCGGUUAGGCCGGGAACUCAAAGGAGACUGCCAGUGAUAAACUGGAGGAAGGUGGGGAUGACGUCAAGUCAUCAUGGCCCUUACGACCAGGGCUACACACGUGCUACAAUGGCGCAUACAAAGAGAAGCGACCUCGCGAGAGCAAGCGGACCUCAUAAAGUGCGUCGUAGUCCGGAUUGGAGUCUGCAACUCGACUCCAUGAAGUCGGAAUCGCUAGUAAUCGUGGAUCAGAAUGCCACGGUGAAUACGUUCCCGGGCCUUGUACACACCGCCCGUCACACCAUGGGAGUGGGUUGCAAAAGAAGUAGGUAGCUUAACCUUCGGGAGGGCGCUUACCACUUUGUGAUUCAUGACUGGGGUGAAGUCGUAACAAGGUAACCGUAGGGGAACCUGCGGUUGGAUCACCUCCUUACCUUAAAGAAGC